rnacentral:tRNA from 1 species
GCGAGAGUAGCACAGUGGUAGUGCACCUGCCUUCCAAGCAGGGUAUGCGGGUUCGAUUCCCGUCUCUCGCUCUA